rnacentral:rRNA from 1 species
CGGUGCGGAGCAGACAGGAUUAGAUACCCUGGUAGUCCACGCCGUAAACGAUGUCGACUUGGAGGUUGUGCCCUUGAGGCGUGGCUUCCGGAGCUAACGCGUUAAGUCGACCGCCUGGGGAGUACGGCCGCAAGGUUAAAACUCAAAUGAAUUGACGGGGGCCCGCACAAGCGGUGGAGCAUGUGGUUUAAUUCGAUGCAACGCGAAGAACCUUACCUACUCUUGACAUCCAAAGAACUUUCCAGAGAUGGAUUGGUGCCUUCGGGAACUCUGAGACAGGUGCUGCAUGGCUGUCGUCAGCUCGUGUUGUGAAAUGUUGGGUUAAGUCCCGCAACGAGCGCAACCCUUAUCCUUUGUUGCCAGCGGUUCGGCCGGGAACUCAAAGGAGACUGCCAGUGAUAAACUGGAGGAAGGUGGGGAUGACGUCAAGUCAUCAUGGCCCUUACGAGUAGGGCUACACACGUGCUACAAUGGCGCAUACAAAGAGAAGCGACCUCGCGAGAGCAAGCGGACCUCAUAAAGUGCGUCGUACCCGGAUUGGAGUCUGCAACUCGACUCCAUGAAGUCGGAAUCGCUAGUAAUCGUGGAUCAGAAUGCCACGGUGAAUACGUUCCCGGGCCUUGUACACACCGCCCGUCACACCAUGGGAGUGGGUUGCAAAAGAAGUAGGUAGCUUAACCUUCGGGAGGGCGCUUACCACU